CUUGUCCUCUGCAACAAGAACGUGCCACCCCAAUUCGAUCCCAACUCGAUAUGGACCAGGAAAAGAGGAAAUUGACUUACUGACGGGAGCAGGGAGUGGAGCGCGCCGAGUUUCUUACGUGAAUACAUAUCAAGAGGCACAUUUAAACACUGACUGACUUUGAGCGUGAAGCUGGCUGGCGUGCGUUUGCUGCGAUGUUACCUGCCAGCGUGCACUCCUUAAUGAGGAAUCAGAAGUCGGAGGAGCUCUUUGUGGUCAUUAAUUAGCGAGGGAAUGAGUGACGGGUCUGGAAGCUUUUGACAUUAUUCGCCCGUGGAAGAGAGAAGCUCAAGCGCAAGACGAAAACUUCCUUACAGCUCCAAGAUAAUUAGAGCUUUGAUUUUGGCAAAGGUGCUGCGAGACGGCCGGGAGCCGGAAAAAUUAUGCCAAAAAAUAUGGCGUUUGCGGCGGAUUGAAAUUCUGUUUCAAAGCGAAAAGUAAGCUGCUUAGGGUGGGUUUUGAGAAACUCUGCUCAAAGAUCAAAAGGCUCAGCGGCGCGCAAAUCAAAUUUUGACGUUGCCAGUGUGAUUGUGCUUGAGUCUCUCUGCUCUUCUGAUUGACAUUUUGAUAUGUUUCUAUGGAAAAGCGGCGCCGCCAUUGGCUGCUGGAAACGGCGGCACGCACGCAAGGAAAUUAGAGAAGAUGGAAUUUAUACAGACAGGCAAGGGAUGCUGGUGGGUGGGUGGUUUUUGAUGCUUUUGAGAUGACGUGCGCCGCUCACUCGCUUCAGAUGGAAUAUUAUAUAACUUGAGAAAAUAACUCGGCUGUGCCGCGCGCCGCCGCUGCCACCGCAGCCGAAGAGCGUUCCAUCCAAUUUAUAUUACAUUUCUCUCUCUCUCCUCCCUGCUCAAACAUUUGAAUUUCUGCUUCAAAUUUAUCUCUUCUUAUUCAUGUGCGUCCCACACCCGCGGUGGUCCUUGUUCUAGCCCAAAAGAAAACGCUUGAAAUCGAUAUUAUAUUAUAUUUAAUUUUUGUAUCAAAAUUCAGCCAAAAUGUGCUGAUUUGUAUGAACUGGUUGUUUUUGGUUUGUAAACUAAAAAUAGAAAUACUUGGUUUAUUAAAUGUAAUUCCGAGUUUAUUUUCAAAUGUAAUUUAUAUUUGGAAAGUUAGGAAAACAAUAUUAUUGAAUGCUCAUAAUUCUUUAUUUUAAUGGCAUUAAAUGGAAAUAUUUUCUACAUCUAAUAAUUAUGUUAAAAUUACCGUGAAAGAAAUACCAUCAAGAACUAUAUAAAAGGAUAAGGACAAGUAACACAGACUGUAAUAAAUUUAUAGCUCUCAAUACUUCAUAUACGUGCAAUUAUUUUGGUACGAAUAUAUUUUUUUCAAUUUGCUUUCAUUGAAAGACACUUAAAAUCUUCCAAAUCAAUUUGAUAACUGAUUUUGGGGUCCAUAUUUUAUUGAAUUAUGACUAGAAGUUUUUAACUUGUGAUAAAAGAAACUUAAUAAACACAAAAUAUAUUGAAUUUUAUAUUCAUAACAUUUUUAUUUUGCCACUGGCAGGGUUGCAUUCAAAUUUCCAUUAUGAAAUCGGAAAUCAAAAUUAAGAAAUAAUUAUGGGGUGGGCAGCUUUUGACGGGUACUAUUCCUGCGAAGUAAAAUUAGAAGUACCACCCAACAUGGGAAGCUCUGAACGCAUUCUUGUAAUUAUUCUAACCGAAAUUCCAAAAUUAGAAAGUUUUGAUUAAGAACUUUCUUUAUGUGUGUUUCACGGGAUGCAUAAAGCUCGUUAAAAUUGAAGAAAUA